AGCAGUCGCCGCGGGAAUACGUAGGGUGCAAGCGUUAAUUGGAAUUACUGGGCGUAAAGCGUGCGCAGGCGGUUGUGUAAGACAGGUGUGAAAUCCCCGGGCUUAACCUGGGAAUUGCAUUUGUGACUGCACGACUAGAGUGUGUCAGAGGGGGGUGGAAUUCCACGUGUAGCAGUGAAAUGCGUAGAUAUGUGGAGGAACACCAAUGGCGAAGGCAGCCCCCUGGGAUAACACUGACGCUCAUGCACGAAAGCGUGGGGAGCAAACAGGAUUAGAUACCCCUGUAGUCCCUGUCUCUUAUAC
rnacentral:rRNA from 1 species